rnacentral:lncRNA from 1 species
UCAUAUGUAAAGAUCGAAACACAAUGAAAAUAUACAAUUGAUGUAUUGAAAUUUUGGUGGCAUAUCAUCAUAAAAUGGCCGAAUUCGCAUAUUAAGAUCCAAUUUAAAAUGCAACAAAAAACAAGCAGCUAAACAUGAAUUUAUUUAUGAUAUUUACCUAGUUACAUCCAUAAAACCCCACACAAAGGCAACACAUCCGAAUCGCGGAUACUACACCUACUCGAAACAGUAAUUGACAUAACUUCUAAGGCUAUUUACCCAUUCAUUAAACCCAAUUCCAACUAUAGUGGUACAAAGAAUCAGCACCCUAGUGUAGCACCUCAAAUUUGCACCUAUCAUUGUACAUACAUUUUCAUAUUAGGUCAUAGCAUAUCAUGGUCCAUUGCAUAGCAUUGCAUUGCCCCUUUUGCCUCAAGUGCAAGCAAAUCAAGAAAUU